rnacentral:rRNA from 1 species
UACGAAGGGGGCUAGCGUUGUUCGGAAUUACUGGGCGUAAAGCGCACGUAGGCGGAUUUGUAAGUCAGGGGUGAAAUCCCGGGGCUCAACCUCGGAACUGCCUUUGAUACUGCAAGUCUCGAGUCCGAUAGAGGUGAGUGGAAUUCCUAGUGUAGAGGUGAAAUUCGUAGAUAUUAGGAAGAACACCAGUGGCGAAGGCGGUUCACUGGAUCGGUACUGACGCUGAGGUGCGAAAGCGUGGGGAGCAAACAGG